rnacentral:rRNA from 1 species
GACAGAGGGGGCAAGCGUUGCUCGGAAUUACUGGGCGUAAAGGGCGCGUAGGCGGGAUGGCAAGUCGGUCGUGAAAUCCCUCGGCUCAACCGAGGAACGUCGAUCGAUACUGCUGUUCUUGAGGAUUGCAGAGGAGACUGGAAUUCCCGGUGUAGCGGUGAAAUGUGUAGAGAUCGGGAGGAACACCGGUGGCGAAGGCGGGUCUCUGGGCAAUUCCUGACGCUGAGGCGCGAAAGCGUGGGGGAGCAAACGGG